rnacentral:rRNA from 1 species
ACUCCUACGGGAGGCAGCAGGGGGGAAUUGUUCGCGAUGGGCGCAAGCCUGACGACGCAACGCCGCGUGGAGGAUGAAGAUCUUCGGGUCGUAAACUCCUGUCGAGCGGGACGAAUGCUCUGCGGAUGAAUAAGCCGCAGGGGUGACGGUACCGCUAAAGGAAGCCCCGGCUAACUCCGUGCCAGCAGCCGCGGUAAU